rnacentral:lncRNA from 10 species
AAGAAAGUUAGAGCAGUAGCAGGUGGUCAGACUGUAUAUGCCUUUUAAGGAGUUGCACUCUUCACCUGAGUGGAAUGGGGAUUUGAGCGGAGAGCUGGUGAUCUAACCAAUGCUACAGAAGGAUCCCUCUAGCUGGCAUGUUGAGAAGACCAUAAAGGUGCAAGGCACAGAGGCAAGUGACACCAGGUAGAAGGCUCCUACAAUAAUUCAGGGAAAGGUCACUUGUCAGAAAUGAAAAGUGGAAACAAAUUUUGCUAAUUAAGAAGACAGCAACAAUGCCGAGAUAUGAAGAAAUAAAAGGCAGACUUAGAGGUGGUCAAAUUCAGGUCUGUCCAGUUUGCUUCUGGUUGGGAAGUUAGGGUUAGUGCCACCGAUGAAGAUGCAGCUCCGCAUGAUGUGUGCCUCACUGUUCGCCAUCACCAGUGGCAGUCAGCAUGACCUGCGGUGGGCCCUCUUUUGCAGCUGUAGUUUUACUGUCUGCCAUCCCUUCAGCAUGGCAGUCUACUUUGUGUAUCAAAUAAAAAGAAAUGGAAUGACAGCUGAGGC